AGCAGCCGCGGUAAUUCCAGCUCCAAUAGCGUAUAUUAAAGUUGUUGCAGUUAAAAAGCUCGUAGUUGAAUUUCGGGAUCAAUUAAUCGGUCGUGCCUCUGGUACGCACUGGUUUUAUUGGUUUCUCCCUUCUGACGAACCAGGAUGUCAUUAAUUUGGUGUCUUGGAGAAUCAGGACUGUUACUUUGAAAAAUUAGAGUGUUUAAAGCAGGCUAACGCUUGAAUACAUUAGCAUGGAAUAAUGAAAUAGGACGUUUGAUCCUAUUUUGUUGGUUUCUAGGAUCGACGUAAUGAUUAAUAGGGAUAGUUGGGGGCAUUAGUAUUCAAUUGUCAGAGGUGAAAUUCUUGGAUUUAUUGAAGACUAACUACUGCGAAAGCAUUUGCCAAGGAUGUUUUCAUUAAUCAAGAACGAAAGUUAGGGGAUCGAAGACGAUCAGAUACCGUCGUAGUCUUAACCAUAAACUAUAGCCGACUAGGGAUCGGAUGAUGUUAAUUUUUUAAUGACUCAUUCGGCGCCUUA
rnacentral:misc_RNA from 1 species